GAUGUAGGUCGCAAGAAGAGUACGCAUAGGCAUGACAGCAAGCGUACAGGAAAGAGGAGGGUAGAUAGUGAAUCCGAUUCUGAAAAGUCGAGAAAGCAUCCUAAGAAAGAUGUUGGCAGACGCGGACAUGAUAUUGAUGAUGAAAAAAGUGGUGAUAACAGCUCUAGCAGUGAUGAAAUAGUGAAGAGGCGCAGAGGUAGGAGGCACAAUACUGAUGAUGAAUCUGAAGAAGGUGAAUAUUUUGGUAGAAGUGAUAGGGUAGACACAAAGGGAAAGAAAAUAGCUGCUAAAAGGCAACAUGAUGACAGUGAUAAUUCUGAUGAU
rnacentral:misc_RNA from 1 species